CAUAUUUUGGUCUCCGUAUUAUUUUGACCUUGUCUUAAAUGUAAUUGGCUUAUCUUUAAAUGAAUGAACGGUGUGUCUUUGCCUAAAAUGCAUCAAUGUGUCUAUUAUUUGACAUCCAAUAGUUGCCUUUUGUCUAUAUUUUUUCGUAAAAAGGAAUUCAAUCUGCCUCCAUCGUAUAGUUAGCAAUGACUAUUUUUCUGCAUUUAGGAGACCAACGAAAACUUGCAAUAUUGCAAAAAAUCUAACAUAUAUAAUGUGUUUAGCCUUUAAUUAUUCUAAAUGAACUUGUUUUCAAAAUACUUUUUCACUUUUUAUGUAUAAAGCCUAACUAGAAAAAAAGUCGUUAAUUUCUUGACCAUGUUUGAACAUUUGGCAAGUGCUCUCCGCCAUUUGUUCCGAGUACUCUCGGAACGUCUCGGGUUAAAACAAUGGACCUUUUAACGCCAGCGUGUUGCCUUUUAGGAAUCAAAGCCAUUUUAUGGAUUUAUCAGUACCUUCUCCGGAGCAAAAGUUGUCCCCAUUCCCAAUUGGAAAUAAGUUCACUUCAGCAGCUGUCCAAAUUAUGAUCCCAAUUAGUAUAGCAGUAUUUUUCCCCAACUGGUAAGAUAGUCAGGCCUCCAUGUUUACAACCGGGAUGCUCACCCCACAUUUACAAUUGUGACCCACAUUUACAAAUGUGACAUAUCAUAGUAUCACUCUCGUUUGGCUUUUCGGAUAUUAUCAGGUUUUGGAGUUAUUAGCACAACCAGUCAUGUCAGUGGAGAUUUUCUCCUGCAGGAGAAACAUUAAAAGGACAGGAUGGGGAGGAGAGAUUGAAGACAAGCACAGAAAACAAAAUAUUUAUCUAUAAAUAUAAUGGAAAAGAACUUUGGUA